ensembl:lncRNA
CAGGGAGACAAUGUGUGGAGAUGAAGCUGAGAAUCUCAGGCAAAGUUCUUCAGUGCAAAGUUCCCGGAUGCAGAGAAGGGGAGGCGUGACAACGUGUCAGUGCUGUACGAAUGCAAGGAAACGAACACGGGAUGAAGGAAGAGCAGAAUGGAUGCAUCACAGGCAUGCUGCAGCCACCCAUCGCCCAGCAAAACUGGUUUUGUCUGACAAAAAACCAGAACCACUGCCAGGACAUUUCGCUUCGGUUUAGGUUUAUUUGCUAGAAUUGUUUGUGGUUAGGAACGAGAGCAAGGUUCACUUGUAAUAAUAACGUAACCAUGGCAAUAUGUAACACAAGCUGAUGUCAGUCUGAUUCGCUGAUAAGAUUUAUGUCCUAAUAUAUUAUCCAAUGCAAUUAAGAAAUGAUUAGAAAAUUAACAUUAGA